ensembl:lncRNA
CCUAGGGCCUCUCAGGUCUGGAGGCUUCAGGAUCAGUCUUUUUGAUGGAAAGUCAGUUUCCCCAUCUUUCUUUCCCUCCAGAGGUAGGACAAGAGUCUUGGUUGGACCACACAGGACACCCACUUCUGUUUCUGUCUCUUUCUUCUGCUUGGGCUGUCCUCUCUCUCUGUCCGUGUCUUUCAAGAUUCCAUGACUGCAGAUCUGUGUUCUUCUGUUUUCUUCUAUUUUCUCUUCUCUUCCUGGCAUCUGUCUUGUUCUCAGCUUCUAUAACUCCUCAGUCUCUACCUCCCAGCCUUCACUUUUCUCAAUAUUUUUUAAAAAAUUUUUAUUUACUACCUUUUCUGUUCUUUCUUCUUCUCUUCCCUUUCUAUUUUCUCUGGCUUUCCUGGUCCUCUCUGAAUUUUCUUCUGCCUUUCUGUGUUUCCAUAUUGCCUCUGUAUCCACCCCCAACUCUUCCUCGUUUCCAGAAAUCAAGACAGGCUGGAAUUACCUCUCCCUGGGGUUCAAGCAGACACCUUCCUCUCAUAUCCCUGGCCUGGACGAUAAGGUGUCCUCCAAGAUAGAAGAAUGCUGGGCCCAUUUGUGUAGGUUUGAAGUCUCACUUUCUGCGUUUAGUAUUCCCCAAACCACCCUCUGCCCACGGCUGGCCUCUCACCUCUGUUCCAAUGCUCUGAUCUCCCAUCCUUUCUCUCUGCCCCUCCUUUCCAAGGCAGGAGCCCAGGGUGAAGGGCAGCAUGGCAGGUCUAAAGCCCCAGUUCCUAGCCUCUGUCUGGCCCCAGCAGCACAGGGCUUUCCUGUAAGGCUCAUUUCCCUGUCCUCUGACAGCCCUCUAAAUUAUUGAUCAGGGCGAUUCGGUGCAGGAGCCUGAAGUGUGUGUGUGUGUGUGUGUGUGUGUGUGUGUGUGUGUGUGAGAGAGAGAGAGAGAGAGAGAGAGAGAGAGAGAAGAUUGUCAAAGUUGUCUAGCUUGGGGAAGCAGUAUUUUUAGCACAGAGGUUCACUUUGGCGCCAGUUGGUUUAUGCUGUUUCUAGAGCAUCAUUCGUUAUGCACUUAAUCCAUGCUUAUCAUACCUCCCUUUAAUGUAAAUAUGUUUUUGGCAGAGGCAGAAUGAAAAGAUUUCACCCUCUGCAUUAUUCUUAUUAGCACCCACCUUUCAUCAAAGCAGGAUCGCUCUGCAAAUGGCAAAUUUGUAAACGGCCAGUGAUUUAGAGAAGUUGGAAGGGAAGCGAGGAGGGAAGGAUGAAGGAAGUGGUGUGUGUGUGUCUGGGGAGCGUGCUUCUUAUACAUCUGUGAAAGGUUUUUUCCCUCUCUCUGUCAGGAAAAGGAACUAAUUGUGGUUUCCUAAUUUCAAACCAAUCUACAUCUUCAAUGGUCUCUUUGUGUGUUUUACCCAGAUUACUUAAAAAAAAAAAAAAAAAGAAACGAAAGAUAAUGCAAUGGAUAUUUCUUAGUCCAGUCGAAAUGAGUUCACUGGGAAGAGGCUGGGAAUUUUUCCUCUCAUCUUAUCUGAUCCAGCAUCUGCAAGGCGCAGAGCCAGAGCUGACUUCGGCCUCAGGCACCGGGCACUGUUGACCACCCAAAAUCUUUCUUCUUUCAACAUCCUCUUUCCAGAUGUCUCAGUCGAGACAGGUAAGGGUGUCAAUGGCACUUCAGCAAUCUGUCCUAAGAAUGUAGCCUCAGGGAGUGGUGGGAAUCUCAGGGACAGAAUAUUUCAAAGAGUGAAGGGAAAUAGACCAAUGUAUUCUCCAAUCCCCAAUUGCAGACUAAGGGUGUCCACUGACUGAACAGGAGCCCUUACUUCUGUGACUUUCUGCUUUUGCUUCUGUCCAUUAUUUCUGGUGGUGUUGUUAGGUGCCCCGGGGUGGGGGGCAGUGGGGUCUUGCCCUUUGAGGGCAGACAAGGCGGAGGGAACAAGGGACUGGGUAAGUGAGAGGGCAUGGCAAAUCAGAUAACUGCUACUACUGUGAGGGAAGUUGACAGGGCAAAGAAAGAUCAGCUCCUCUAAAGCUGCUGAACUAACUGUCCCUUAGUAGCCUCAGACACGUUUCCUCGAUUUGAGCACAAUAUCCAUUACUAUUUCCCAUACUGGGUUUCAAUUUAAAAGGGUGAGAGCGGAGAGGGAAGGCAGGAGAUAAAGGGACCAGUGAGCACCCAAGUUGUGUGUGUCUGUGUGUUGUUUUUCCUCUUUUCUUUCCAUUUCUUUCUUGGAGCCUCUCCAGUGCUCCUCGACAGCCAGCCAAUCUGCCUGUGUUCCUAAAGGUAAUGCUUUCCUGUCUCCCAAAUCGAGUAGGUGAAGAGACAGGAAAGGAGGUAACACCGACAGAGAAUCUUUUAUCUCCAGUGAAGCCCGCAAGAGAUAUAGUUGUGUGUGUGGUGUGCCUUUGGGAAGGACUUUGCCUUGCCUGUGUAGGCAUGGGGUUUCAGAUAUGGGAGGGAUAUGGGCACUCAAGAUUCCAGCCUUUUCUGUCAUAUUGGAAACUGAUCAAAUCCCUCCUUCCUUGUACAGUCUUAUGGGCAAUCUACCCUUUUGCGGGUCUAAGACACAGGGUGUUUAGCAGCUGGUGCCUGGUGGCUCAGAGGUUAAAGCGUCUGCCUGCAGUGUGGGAGACCUGGGUUCGAUCCCUGGGUCGGGAAGAUUCCCCUGGAGAAGGAAAUGGCAACCCAUUCCAGUACUCUUGCCUGGAGAAUCCGAUGGACGGAGGAGCCUGGUGGGCUACAGAGUUGGACAUGACUUCGAGGCUUCACUUUCACUUUCACUUUCACUUUCACCUGUUUCUCUGGUAUGCCUGGCAGGUAGGGAGCUUGCUACCCCAGCUUCCAAGGCCAGGAUUUGGGUUGUGGAUGGAUGCAGGGUCCCGACUCCAGGCCCGUCUGUCACUCUCCCACCCAACACACCUCUCAGAAUUUGCAGUCAAGCACCAGCUCCUUUUCUGCGUCUGAGUUCUGUGAUCACUGACCCUGUACCAGAGCCACUCAGAUAACGGGGCAGGAGUCGCUGCACCUCUGUGUCUUAAUUACCUGACAGUCUGGGGAACCUUUUCCUCCGAGUUAGUAACGACUAGAGACCUCAGCAAUGGGACUUCAUUUUAAGUCAGAGAUGUCUUGCUCCUGACCUAGUCAUCCUGGCCCCCAAGUAAGACAUAAAUCCUGCCCGAGUUUUUAGCAUAUCCAGGGAAUGAACCAGUAGGAGCCACAGUGACAGUUCUCUGGCUCUCAACCAGAGCUGAAGGCUUGGGUGAAAGUUUUGGCCUUAGAGAUGUGAAGAGCCUUUAAACCUCUCCAGCUUGGCCUUGGAAUACAGAAGGGUUCCAGAAGUUUCUCUCUCUCUCUCUCUUUUUACUUGCAAAUUAUCUUACUGUCCUUUAUUAGGACAUAGAAGAACUAAUGCAAAUGUGAUGAGAAAUAGCUGUCAAGUUUGUAAAAGCAAUUUUUAAACUCACUGUUAAUCUCUUUUUGGAUUUUUCUUUCUUUUCUUUUCGUUUUUGAACUUUUGAUUUUGUAUUGGGGUAGAGCCGAUGAGGUGUGAAGGACUGGGAAGCCUGGUGUGCUACAGUCCAUGGGGUCGCAAAGAGUCGGACGCAACACAGCAACUAAACACCAAGAGCUGAUGAACACUGCUGUGACAGUCUCAGGUGAACAACAAUGGGACUCAGCUGUACAGAUGUAUUUUCUUUCUUUUUAAAUUUGUAUUUCUGUUUUAGGGGAAGAAGAGAGAGCAAGGGAGCAGGGACACACACAGACAUAGAAAGAGGGAAUGUUUGGAAUUAUGAGAGAGCUUUCCUUAAGAGUUGCUUUUGCUGGCGCCCAGGCCUCAGUAAGUUUCAUCUCCAAGCCAAAUACUAAAAAUCCUUCUGGCGGGCGCUUGGGAGGGCAGACAGGAGCGGCCUUCCCGAUCUAGGAACCAACCUGUCCCCUACAUUCCCUCCUGACGCCCUGUCCUCCUUGCGCUUGGGAAAGGAAAGCUUCGGGCCCCAGGACGGAGGGGGAGAGACUGACAGCCCAGGGCUCCCCCUGUAAGGUGCUUUUGAGCGAUGGUUUCCCCUCCCCUUCCCCCCAAGCGGGGGGUUUUCACCUACCGCCGCCCCCUCCCCUUCCCCUUACCCCGGUUCCAAAUACGGAAGCUGGACGUGCUUCGCUGCGGCUCCAGGCCUCGCCUAGCGCGGUACCUGAGAAGACGCUCGCGGCCUCGGAUUACCGGUCGAGGGGGCCAGGGGCUGCGAUCUGGGGCCCCCCAACACCCGCAGCGGCCGGCGAGGAAGCACAGGGGUCCCGGACGAGGCUGGUCCGUCCCGGGCCUCGGUGGCGACAAGGCUGCUUCAGGCACAUUCCCAGGAAGACAGAGGGAAGGAAGAAACAGGAAGGUCAUGGAGGAGCGGCAGAAGACCAGAUCUCCCUGACCAGGGAUUGAACUGUGCCCUCUUCCGUGGACGGGCAGAGCCCUAACUGCUGGACCACCAGGGGGCUGCUGGUGGUGUGUACUUCUACCAAAAGACUCACAAAAUUGCCUGUCUUUCUUCUUGGUUUGUGAGCAUCCGCUGAAGACCAUUUUCGGCAUGGAUUCAUAAUUUCUUUAAGGGUUUGCACAACAGUGAUAUUUCAUUUCUUUCACUUCAUCUUCAUUAUGUGAAAUACUCCCAAAUUUCUCAAGAGUCCACCACAUCACUAAACGCUAAGGUUUGAGCAGACAUCGUCCACUAUCUACAUUUUCACGCUUUUCAAUGAUAAACCUCUUCGACUGAAUUUGAUGUAUGAUAUAUCACUGAACUGCACUCAGCUGGAAAUUAAAAGAGAUAACCUUUGAAAACAAAUGUGCCUAGAAUUUCUUCCUGCAGUCGGUGGUCAGUCCAUUCCUAAUCCGGGGGCUGUGGGCAACUUUGUAGGGAAUUUCUUUUCUUUCCCUUUUAAAAAUUUUAUUGGAAUACGGUUGAUUUACAAUGCUGUGUUCGUUUCAGGUGUAAGGAAUUCAUUUCUGCAUUCAGUCAGGAAAUUCAGUUUGCCUCUUGCAAACAAAAUGAAAAAGGAGCCUAUGAAGCUCUCUGAAAAUGUUGAUCAAUCCGUGGGACCUUCUCUCCUGCCACCCAUCGCCCCCUACUUUUCACCAGUGCUGGGAGAAGGGAAGGUCGGUUUGGGAGAAUCCUGAGCAGAGAGGGUUUACAAACUGGAAGUUGCUUUAGGGAAAAGUACAUUGUUUCUGCUUUCAUUUUUCAUGUCAAAGUCCUCACGCCAUCAGAGCACACGGGAGACUUUAAACAAACCACAUUGCCCCCAGGUCUGCUUCUUGAAGGAGGGGAUUUACUCUACCCCUCCCCCUGACGAGUGUUAACAGCAGAAUUAAGGCUGGGGAAUCUGGCAGGGGUUCGCUUGCAGCAGGGAAGGUGUGUCUGGGAUUUUUUGCAAGGCAUUAAUCACUUGUUUAUAGAGGGGGAAGAAAAAAAAAUGGAAGGAAGACAGUGGGGGCUGUUCCCUAUUCUGGGUUCCCUUCCAGGCAAACGUUCUCACCGCCACAAGUGAAAGUCGAUCAGCUGUGUCCGACUCUUUGAGAUCCCAUGGACUAUACAUACAGUCCAUGGAAUUCUCCAGGCCAGAAUACUGCAGUGGGUAGCCUUUCCCUUCUCCAGGGAACCUUCCCAACCCAGGGAUUGAACCCAGGUCUCCCACAUAGCAGGCAGAUUAUUUAUCAGCUGAGCCACCAGGGAAGUCCAAGAAUACAGGAGUGGGUAGCCUAUCCCUUCUCCAGGGGAUCUUCCCGACCCAGGAAUCAAACCGGGGUCUCCUGCAUUGCAGGCGAAUUCUCUAGCAGCUGAGCUACGAAGGAAGCCCUUGAACCCACCCUCCGUUCUCCAGCAACCAGCUCAGCUGGUCUUGGUCCUGGGGUCCAGGUUGGUCCCCUGCAGAGGUGAGCCUGGAGGUGUAUCAGUGGUGAGGGCCGGGCUGCCCCACGUGUGCAGAGCUGCAGGCCUGAACUACCUUUAAGUAUUUAGAGUCUCACCCCCACCUCCCCACACAUGAAUACCCCUUUUCAAAUGUACAUCAAAUCACCAUAUUUCCCAAGUUGACACUCCAUACCCAUGUUCUGAAAACAAAAACAAGAACACUGUUAUUUUCACAUAAAUAUUUACCCAAAGACACUGGUUUCCUAUGCAGAAUUGAACUUGGAAACCAGAACUGGAGGUGAAUCUACUUUUAACUGUAAACUAUUUGGAACUGUGUCAUCUAUGGAUGUAUUAGUUACAAAGGGGCACAUGUUUUUUUGUUUGUUUGCUUGUUUUUCUUGAUAAAAAAAUUUAAAAUAUGUUUAUGGGAUAAAUAUGAAAUCUAGAGAAAAACUUAGUAACAAACUCUAAUAAUAAUCACUUUCCUUUGUCCCCCCCAUACAUAUUCUUAGAAGAAAUAAAAGUAUUGUUUUCUUUUGAGUGGGUUUGCAUGCUCAGUUGUGUCCGGCUCUUUGUGACCCCAUGGACUACAGCCUGCCAGGCUCCUCUGUCCAUGGGAUUCUCCAGGCAAGAAUACUGGAGUGGGUUGCCAUUUCUUUCUCCAGGGGAUCUUCCCAAACCAGGGAUCAAACCCACGUAUCCUGCGUCUCCUGCAUUGGCAGGCAGAUUCUUUAUCAUUGAGCCACCUGAGAAGCCUUUUGUGUAUCAAAUCUAGGAGGUACAAAAUGGGAGAGUGAAAAGUAAUAUUCUUUCCCAUAAUUCUCUUCAUAACUCUGUUUCCUCUCUUCAUAAGUCACCAUGGUAACAACGUGUAUCCAAGUGAUUAAUACACAUGUGUGUCUAUAUAUACUAGUAUAUGCAUAAUUUUCACUAAUGUAUCACUAUUGUCUAUUUUUAAAAAUAUAUUAUUCAUGCCAGAAUAUCUUUUUUUCAGGGUUGCUUUUUAAAUACAUUAGUAUAGUGGAAUAUUUUCUUUUAAUAAUUUGUAUUUCAUUCAACACAGAAGGAAUCAUCCUUAUCAAAAAAGAGAGAGUGAAUUAGACGAAAAUGGGUAAUCCGCAGGGAAAUGGUAGCGUGUGCAGCUAGAGGUAAAUCACAAAUAUCCACUAUGUAAACAGUAAACCUGUUGGGCCAGGUGUUACCCAGACACAAGCCAUUUUUCGUUUACUUUUAUCAAUAAUAAAUGCAGUCCCCCAUCAGCUGGACCUCAAGACUUCUGCCUACACUGCAAGAGAUCUUGCUAAAUGGACAGAAACUGCCAGGCUGAGCAAGUGUACUGAAAACAUUUACAUGUUGAAACCCUCAGCAGUUUGGCUACGUGUUUAAGAGUGCUGGCCCCUGAAGGUUCAGUUGAAUCUUUGUGCUCUUCACUGACCAGGAGCGGCUUUAUUGUGCCUGUGAUGCUGGACAGGUCUUAAAACGAGUCACAACAGUCCCUCCGUGGUCAACAGUCUACUGUUCCGCUGUCUCAAAUCCAUUUGCGAUGGCUGUAAAACGCCGCCCGCUGAUGCAAGCUGUAAAUCUUGCCCUCUCAUUCAAAAAGGCUGACAAGAGAGAAACAGCUUGAGUUUUCACCCCAGCCUGGCAAAGUCGAGAUCCUGCUGUGCCUGCUUGAUUCCCCGUGUUCGGCAGUGCAUGAUCUUUCCUCGCCCCCUCCGUAUCCCUCCCCCAUGGUGGCCUAGUGAGGACUUAAGCCAUUGAGUCUGAAGUGUGGUCCUGUAGUGACGGAAGAAAGUCAAGAUUGUAUUCCCUGCCACUCGGGCUGACGGCUGUUCAAAUCACAUGGCCCCCUCUCUUUCUGUGUCUUUGUGAAAAAUGGAGAAAUUUUGCUGGCAAACAGGUUUUUCUGGCUGAUUACCCUUAAGAUGGAUGUUUCCCUUGACUGAGGGAAGCCAGGGACUUUCAGGAAUGUUUGUAGGUGUUUGGAUGAACCCACCUUUUAGAACAGUCACUGCCCCACCUGGUCAAACAGUCCUAGCAAAACAGCAUUGGCUGGACUUACUGAUGGGAAUAUCAUCACCAGGUCAGACAGGAACUGGCUGAAAAGCAAGCCGUGGGUUUUGAGUGCAAACCGGCUUCCGAUUCAUCCAUUCCCGAUAUUGUGAACAAGUCAGCCAGACAACCUCCCCAACCCUCAGCAUCUAUCAGAGGGGGCUGAAGCUUCCUGCCCUGUUUACUGGGGCCUGUGGAUAAAAUCUUCAACAAACUUAAGAUACAGAAUGUUUGGAAACUGGUAUUGUUAUGACAGCAAUUACAAUAAGAGACACACCUCUUGGGAGUGAGAUGAAUUGACACUUGUUAAGACAAAUGGAAAGCUUCCUGCCCUCCAUGCUGUAAAAGUGUGACGCUCGGGGAGCUUGUGAGAUGGAGCCAUAGAAUUGUUGUACCAGUUAUGGAACUUCCCUGGUGGUCCAGGGGCUGAAACUCCAUGCUCCCGAUGAAGGAGGCCCAGGUUCAAUCCCUGGUCAAGGAACUAGAUCUCACAUGUCCCAGCUAAAAGUUUGCAUGCUAAAAGAUCCCAUGUGCUACAACUAAGACCUGAUGCAGCCAAAAAAAGAAUUGUUGUACUAGUCAAUGUACAGAUAAGCUGUUCUUCAGAUGUGUGGAAUGAUAAAUCCUAGGUUACCACCUUCUCCAAGAAGAACUGGGUAUGUAAAUGUGGUGGCAUAAACACACCCACACAUUCACACACACACAGGAUCAAAAGCUAUAGGGCAUAUGGAAUUUUUAGCAUUUCAUCCCUUUGUCCAAUCUGCUUCCUUAUAGCAGCCCUCAGAGGAUGACUUCAGGAUCCAAAAUGUCUCAUUAUUCACCAUCAAGCUAUAUGUAUUUCCAAUAGCUUUCCAUUAUUCUUAUGAAAAGGACCAAAUAUUUUCAAUAGACCCUCAAGGUCUUCUCUGGCUCAAUUUAUCUCAAGUUCUCAGUGAUUUUUUUUCCUGCUGUUGCCUUGUGGAAGAUUGAAUUAUUGAACCAGAAACCUCCACACUCCUAUGUACAUGCUCUUUGCUUGUAUCUUGGUGGUUUCCUUCAAGAAUAAAGUUUCUUCCUAGACCUUGAGCUUUCGGAAUGCUCAUGUGACCUGCCCUGUCCAAUUAAAAAAAAAAAAAGUGGGCAGAAUUGACAGUGGGCAAUGUUUCCACUUGUCCUCUUGUGUGUCAGUUACCACUGACUGAAGAGCUUUCAGCUUCUGCUCCUUCAGGCUGACUCCACUCAGAUUGAACAAACAUGGAUGGGUCUGCCUGGACCCCAACCUGGGUUUGGGAGCUAAGCCCUGUCGGAUGGGCGGCUUGAAGCUGAGAAGCCUAGCUGAGCCUAGUUAAGAUCAGCCAACCUGAAAACCAUGAAAAGCCAAGGCUUGUUGGUGAUGCCAGUGAGAUUUUUGUGGUUGCUUGUUUUACAGCAGUAGCUGACUGAUACAAGAUACACAGCAGUCCUCCUUGCCAGACUUCCUUGGCUACAGGCCCCUGGUGUUCCCUUCCUUAUCACUUGAGUAACUCCUGCUCAUCCUUCAGAUCUUAACUCAAAGCUAGCUUCUCUCGAGAAGCCUUUUCUGACCCUGCAGGUUAGGUAUAAACCCUCUAUUAUAUAUCCUUCACGGCACUUAUCAGAGUUGUACCUUUAUGGGAACACUCAACUGUUAUCUGACUUCUUCCCUAAAGUUCUACAAGCACACAGGAAACUUUUUUUUUAAAAUUCACACUGUAUCCCCAGUUCCUAGCACAGAGCCUUUCCAGGCAUGUAGUAGGUACUCAAUACAUUCAAAUCAAUGGAUAAAGGAGUUGAACACAAUUUCUCCAGGUUAAAAAUAUUAUAAGUUUAAGACAAACAGCUUAUACAGUCUAAAAGACCAGCACAGAAGGAAAGAAUGGAGACAUGAAACAAAGAAAAAUUUAUACAUAGCACAUUAGCAAAAGUGACUGAAAAUAAGAUUGGAUUGGUUGCAUUUAUUCAUUCAUUCAUUCAGGUACUGGGUUUCCCUGACAGCUCAGUUGGUAAAGAAUCCGCCUGCAAUGCAGGAGACCCUGGUUCAAUUCCUGGGCCAGAAAGAUCCCCUGGAGAAGGGGUAGGCUACCCGCUUCAGUAUUCUUGGGCUUCCCUUGUGGCUUAGCUGGUAAAGAAUCUGCCUGUAAUGCAGGAGAUCUGGGUUUGACCCCUGGGUUGGGAAGAUCCUCUGAAGAAGGGAAAGGCUACCCACUCCAGUAUUCUGGCCUGGAGAAUUCCAUGGACUGUAUAGUCCAUGGGGUCACAAAGAGUUGGACACAACUGGGCGACUUUCACUUUCACUUUCAUUCAGGUGCAUGCUAGCCCCUGAGAGUCUGCCACACAAUGUCAGGGAAUAUUCUAGAGUGAGUGAUCCUUAGGCUGAGUCCCAAAGAUUCUAGUGUCAGAACAUGAAAAGCUGUGGAGAUCUGAAGGAGAAAAUGAUGAACUCUAGGGCCAUAGUGGAAUGCUUUGCUUGAAGGAGACUUUUGAACUGGACCAUGUAGGUGAGUCAAAGUCCCCACAUCAGAUUGGAGGGGAAGGGAGAUAUUAAAGACAGAGGGAACAGCAGACAGAAAGAUGGAUUGGGGCAUGAAGAAUUUUAGAGGAUAGCAAAUUGUUUAAUCAUCCACUUCCACCAUCAAGGAAGUUGGUCCUGUCAUCUACCCAUUUUACAGAUCAGGAAACUAAGGCACAGAGAGGUUGAGUACCUUAUCCAAGGUCACAAGAGGAGGAAGUGACAGUUUAGUGCAACAAUCCCACAACAGCCUGUGGAUUGCUGAGCUUAGCAGUUAGGACAGUGUCCUCCUGAGUCAAAGCAAACCACAGAAGGUUUUACACAAUGGAGCAUGGUAGCCAGCAGAGGCACCAGUGGGAACUCAGUUAGGGACAGAAGCUCAGGGAAUGCACUGGUUAAACCGAAACAAGCAAAAAAAAGGGGGGGCUCAGGACAGGAAGUGAUGACUCAACCUGGUCUGAGGUCAAUUUCACCAGUGUCAGAGCUCUGCUGGAAAGUUCUAAGAAGUGGGACAGGAGAGGUUGGCAGGUUGUGGGAUAAAAUGAGAGAAACAGUGAGAUGCUUGGGAAAAGAUAAGGGGGAUCUUAGUAAAUAUUUGGAUGCUGGGGUGGAGAGAGGGGUAUAGAGUGUUGGGGAGCCCAGUGAUAUUUUUAUGCCCAGACCUCAGAGCAGAAGUUAUUGGGAAAAUCCAUAACCUGGGUGUAUGGAGUAUGGGUGGGGAGAAGUCAGAUGGAAAAGAUAGAAGUAUCAAAAGGAAGGGCUAAUGGAACCACACGGGAGACAUUAAAAAGUAAUAAAUCUGGCAGCCUGGAUGGUAUUUACCCAGAAAUUCUGCAGAGGAUGGUUAACUCUUAGAACCCUGCUCACCUGGGGUUGGAGCUGGAAGAGACCCACGAGGGCUUCCAAUAAGAGGUCUGGAUUAACCCAGAGAAGAAUCAGAUCUGAGAAGAGGUGUGUAUUUAGGCUGAGUGCCACCCAGGGAAUUCUUAGAGCCAGAAGGGAGCUCCAACUUGUGGGAUACUGGGCUGGCAAAGGGGCUCCAUCACCUCACCCUCUGGGGAACACUCUGCUGAAGAGUUAAUCAGCCCGUGGGAAGGGAGAACCACAGGAUAUAAUUUAUUUACCUACUCCCCGCCGAAAUCCUUCCCAGAAGACCGUGGAGGCUAAUUCUCUGUAAUUAUAUCUCCUGCGAGGUUCUGUAGGCUCUGAGAGACAUGUUAACUCAUUAGAGUUCAUAGCACACCUGGGACAAAGGUGUGGGGAGAGGCAAGGACUGACUUCACCAGCCAGAAGGGGGAAACUGAGGCUCCCCAUGGGAGGAGCAAAAUUAGAACUGUGGUUCCUUGAGUCCCAAGGGAGGAGAGAAAGAGGUCAGACACUGGGGGGUGAGUUCUAUUUCUUUUUUUCUCUGUGUGAUCUGGGGGAAGUCACUCAACCUUUCUGGGCCACGGUUUCCUGAUCUGUAAAAGCAGAGAGCUGGGUGCCAUGAGCUGUAUGGUUCCUAACUCAAAUGCCCCUUUGCUUGGAAGUUUAACCUCCCUGCAUUAUGAAGAAAUAGCAAGUUUGUCGUGUAAUAAUGAGGGUGGAUGUAGGCUAGACUGUAGGCUGAACUGCCGUGUUGCCCAUUGUUCACCAUUUGAACUAUAGUAAUGAAUUCCUCAAGGCCUUCAGAGGUUCAUAAAUCUGAAAUGAGACUUUUCCGUGAACUGAAGUGACCAGUGAAGGACAGCAAAGUUGGGAUGCCAGCCUGGGUGGAGGACCAGAAGAGGAACCGGUGGGUUUCAAAGUUGCUUGCAAAAAUUCCUCCCACAGUCCUUUGCACUGGGUAGGAACUGUUUGCCCUCCCCUUGGAUCUGGGCUGAUCCCGUGACCUGGUUUGACCAAUAGCAUGCGGCAAACAUGAUGCCUGCACACAUCUGAGGGUGGGCCUUCUAAGAGUUUUGUUCUCACCGCUGUUGUGGCCCAGCCGCCACGGAAAGAAGUUCCCGCGAGACUUUUGAGAGCACUUGUGAAGGAGACAGCUUCUAGCUGUGGCUGCCAAGCUCCAGAUAUAUGGAGGAGGCUGUCUUGGGGGACCUCACCCCCUCAGACUCUUCAUCCCCAGCCCACCCACCGAAAAUAAUAUGCCAUGGUCCUUUGAAGCUAUUACAUUUCUGGUGGUUUGUUUCAAAGCUAUGAGUAACUGAUCAGAAUGGUUAAUAGAGGUUUGGGUAAUAGAGGUUUUUCUGGUUUCUAAAAAACCUGAUUCUUCUGGCUGUUUGAUCUAAACGCUGAUGCCUCCUGCUCUUGAUUCAGUUGCUGGAGACAACUGUAAGCUGUGUCCUUUCACCUCUGAGUUUCAACUUGCCUGAAAGCACAGAACAGCAAGCAACCCUGUAAGGUGUUCUUCAACCGUGAUGCAAUCCUAGUGUGUUGAUAUGAUUUUUUUUUUUUUUCUUGCUUCCUUACUGAUUGGGUAAAGGAGAGGAAUUUAGGUAAAGAAAGAGGGAAAUUGGAGAAAGAGGAUGAGAAAGAGACCAAGAAUUUUCCACGUACCUACCUUGGGACUGUGUAUGAUGUGAUUUGCUUUCCAUCUGCUAUCCUGUCCACCCAACAAUCCUAUGAGGUGGACGUCAUUCCCAUUGUGGUGCUGGUUUAGUCGGUAAAUUGUUUCUGACCCCAUGGGCAUGUAGCCUUCCAGGCUCCUCUGUCCAUAGAUUUCCCAGGCAAGAAUGGAGUGGGUAGCCAUUUCCUUCUCUGGGGGAUCCUCAGGGAUUGAACCCAUGUCUCACACAUUGCAGGUGGAUUCUUUGCUGCUGAGCCAGUGGGGAAGCCCCUAUUCCCAUUGUACAGAUGAACAAAUUGAGGCUCUGGGAAGUUAAGUGGCAUGUCUGAGGCUUCCUAGCCAGGCUGUGACAGGCAGGAUUUGAUCUAAGGUCCUUCUGUAAUAGAUACAAUGACCAUAUUUAGUCCGUUCUCUCCCUGGGUUGGGAAGAUCCCCUGGAGAAGGAACCAGCAACCCACUCCAGUAUCCUUGCCUGGAAAAUUCCAUGGACUGAGGAGCCUGGCAGGCUAAAGUGCAUGGGGUUGCAAAGAGUCAGACACGCCUGAGCGACUUAACUUUCUAACUUUUCUUUCUACGCUGGCCUGAGCUUGUCUGAAGAGAGCAGGAGGGAGGCGGUGCCUGAAGCCACGGAAGAUCUUUUGACUUCUCCUUUAGCUUCACCUGAAACUGGCUUUGGAGAGACAACCGGAAACCAAGAUCUCUUCCGUUGAGUUCCACCCCGAUUUCAGAUCAGCUGUGUGACUUCAAGGAUGUCAAUGAUGUCUCUGGGUCUCAGCCUUCUCAUCUGUAAAAUGGGUUAGAAGGAGCAUUGAAUAAGAAUCUCUGUGGAUAACACUUUGAACAAUGCCGAGUGCCUGUUAAGCACAUAGAGUCGCUCUGUCGUGUCUGACUCUUCACCACCCCGUGGACUGCAGCAUGCCAGGUUUCCCUGUCCUCCACUAUCUCGCAGAGUUUGCUCAAGUUCAUGUCCAUCGAGUCAGUGAUGCCAUCCAACCGUCUCAUCCUCUGCCGUCCCCUUCUCCUUCUGCCUCCAAUCUUCCCCAGCAUCAGGGUCCAAACAAUCAGCUCUUCACAUCAGGUGGCCCAAAUAUUGGAGCUUCAGCUUCAGCACCAGUCCUUCCAAUGAGUAUUCAGGGUGGAUAUCCUUUAGGAUCGACUGGUUUGAUCUCCUUGCACUUCAAGGGGCUUUCAAGAGUCUUCUCCAGCACCACAAUUUGAAAGCAACAAAUUAUUAUUAUUUUCUUUUUUGAAAUUCUUUUAAAAAUGAAUAAAUUUUAUUGAAGUAUAGUUGAUUUACAGUAUUGGGUUAGUUUCAGGUGUACAGCAAAGUGAUCCACUUAUAUAUACAUAUAUAUCUAUUUUUUUUUCAGAUUCUUUCCCCUUGUAGGUUAUUACAAAAUUUUGAGGACAGUUCCCUGUGCUAUAUAGUAGGUCCUAGAAUUAUUAUUAUUUUUUUAUAGCUAAUAAAAGGCUGAACCUCUUAUGGUUCAGAUUGCUGAUAAUCAACGCUUUGUGAUCUGGAACAAUGAAGACUUCAUUCGAAGCCUGGCCGGCAUUCCCAGUGGGGAACAAAGGUACACGCAUGUGCUCCUGGCUGUGGCAACAAUGUAGUGUCACUCCGUGAACACAAGAAGCGAGCAUGCAAGCAAAUGGCAUGCGGAAGAAGAAAGCCAGCUAGGAGCUCUCUCGGGUCGAGACGUGGGUCUCUCUUGACUGUCUCACAUGCAGUUUUUCUGGGCUUGCAAACCUGCUUUCUUGUCCUACGCUUGUGUACAGCAGAUACCCAACCUGUCUUUCCUGCCACAUGGCAGUUCACUUUUGGAGCAGAGAUAAACUGGGAGUUUGGGAUUAACAUAUACACAUUGGUGUAUGUAAAAUAGGUAAACAACAGUGACCUCCUGUAUAGCACAGGGAACUAUCCUCAAUAUCUUUUUAAAAAAAACUAUUUAUUGCUCAUUGAAGAAUUAUUACUUCACAAUGGUGUGUUGGUUUCUGCCAUACAUCGACAUAAAUCAGCCAUAAGUACACGAAUGGCCCCUCCCUCUUGAACUUCGCUCCCACCCCUCGAGGUUUUCACACAGCACCGGGUUGAGCUCCUUUGCGUCGUACAGCAAAUUCCCACUGGCUGGCUGUUUUACAUAUGGUAACAUAUAUGUUUUCAUGCUUCUCUCUCCUUUCGUCCUACCCUCUCCUUCCCCCAUGUACUCAAGUGAACUCUUUGAUCAACCCAAUAAAAAUAUGUAUAAGUGAAUCACUUGAAACUAUUAUAACAUUGUAAAUCAAGCAUACUUCAAUUAAAAAAUGCAUUUAAAAAAAUAAAAAGAAGCUCACUUUCUUCUGAGUGCCUUCCUUUCCUCCCCACCAGGUUAAUCUGUGUUCCACCGAAGAUUUAGUCAGCCAGCUUACCCACAGAGCAGUGGCUGUCAAGGUCCAGUUCAGUUCAGUCGCUCAGUCGUGUCCGACUCUUUGCGACCCCGUGGACUACAGCACGGCGGUCUUCUCUGUCCAUCACCAACUCCUGAAGCUUACUCAAACUCAUGUCUGUCGAGUCAGUAAUGCCAUCCAACCAUCCCAUCUUCUGUCACUCCCUUCUCCUCCUGCUCUCCCUCUUUCCCAGCAUCAGGAUCUUUUCCAAUGAGUCAGUUCUUUGCAUCAGGUGGCCCAAGUAUUGGAGCUUCAGCUGUAGCAU